rnacentral:lncRNA from 1 species
UGGUGGUAUGACGUCAUAAAGCCGCGCCGCGCUGUGAUGCGACUGAAGGAAGGUUUGUGUUUUUAGCCAUUUCAAGUAAAGUGUUUAAAUCGAUGGAGUCCGAUAGAGCAAUUUCAUAGUUUUUAGUAAGCGAUGUGAAAUUAAUUAUUGUUUAAUGUAAUACUGCAGCGCUUCAUCUAUUAUUUAUGAGCGCUAAUUUGUGAUUAAAACGCAUCCACACAUCUGUAACAGAAAAGUGCGCCUCACGUUGCUUCCUUUAUCAUCGAUCAGUUCACCUUAAACACGAACUGAUGAGCAAGUACUAGUGAUGGAGAAACGGAGCUCUUUUAAAUGAAGAAUAUUAAAUCAAUCGCUUCGCGAAACGAUUCAGUGAUUCGAAUCUCUUGAGUCGCCGCGCGCUGACGAGUGCCAAACACAGAAAAACUGCUGAAGUAACUGAGAUCUACGUGACACGCUGUUAUAAAGAUGGCGUUUAUUAAAGAAGAGAGUGAAGACGUGAAGAUUGAAGAAACAUUCAGAGUCAAACAAGAAGAUACUGAGACACAAACAAAGAUGGAGUUUAUUAAAGAGGAGAUCGAAGAGCUGAAGAUUAAAGAAGUGUUCAGUCUGAAACAAGAAGAUACUGAAGAACAAACAGACCUGAUGCCACUGAAAGAGGAGAGUCAAGAGCUCAAUGAUAUGGAAGAAGAAUAUCAAUAUGAGAAACCUCAUCAGUUCAUGGCUGGAGAAAAAUGUUUUAGUGACUCAAAGAUUGAAAAAACAUCCUCACAAAACAAAGGAAAUAAAAAAACAUUAAAGCCCACAUGAAAGUUAAAACUGGAAAGGGCCCUUUCACUUGCCAACAGUGUGGAAGAAGUUUCAAUUACAAACAAGCCCUUAACAGGCACAUGAAAAUUCACACCGGUGUGAAGCCUUUCACUUGCCAACAGUGUGGAAGAAGUUUCAGUCUCAAACAGUGUCGUCGCCUCAG